rnacentral:sRNA from 1 species
UAUAGUAUAGAUAAUGUAUUUAUGAGUUCGAAACAAGGUUCACCGUUCUAUUAAGAAUGAUUCCUUUUAUUUCCGGCUUUUGAUGCAAAAUUUAUCGCGCUAUGCGCACAUGGAGGUUUCAUUCUUAUGGAACAAGGUACAGUUAAAUGGUUUAAUGGUGACAAAGGUUACGGCUUCAUUACUUUAGAGAACGGCUCAGAUGUCUUCGUUCAUUUCUCAGCUAUCAACGCUGACGGUUACAAGACCCUUGAAGAAGGCCAAAAAGUUACUCUUGAUGUUGAAGACAGCGACCGUGGCCCACAAGCUGCUAACGUUUCUGUAGUUAACAACUAAUCAUUAAUUUGAUAAUAAAAGUCCUCGAUUGAGGGCUUUUUAUU